ACUUGUCAGAUGGUGUGGGGAUUCCCAUAAUUAUUUGUUUGUCAGCCCAGUAGCCGAGAGUAAUGGUUCAUUAAUGUAGUCAGGUUCCCACAUACACAGGCAACCAGGCACUCUCUCGCCAUCAAUAUUUACAUCGGCCCAUCAGAACCACAGCAUCCCCCAUCAGAACCACAGAGUACCACCAUCAGAACCACAGAGUACCACCAUCAGAACCACAGAGUACCACCAUCAGAACCACAGCAUCCCACCAUCAGAACCACAGCAUCCCCCAUCAGAAGCACAGAGUACCACCAUCAGAACCACAGCAUCCCCCAUCAGAACCACAGCAUACCACCAUCAGAACCACAGCAUCCCACCAUCAGAACCACAGAGUACCACCAUCAGAACUACAGCUUCCCCCCCAUCAGAACCACAGCAUCCCCCAUCAUGACCACAGCAUACCACCAUCAGAACCAGAGUACCACCAUC